CCAGUCACACUGUGGAUUCAGGGGACAAAGAGCACCAUGGCCAGGGCUCUUCUCUUCCUUCUGUUCUCUCAUUUUACAGGUUCCCUCUCCCAGUCUAUGGUGACUCAGCCUCCCUCCCUCUCGGCACCUACUGGAUCAACAGCCAGACUCACAUGCACCCUGAGCAGUGGUCUUAAUGUUGGCAGUUACAGUAUUUUCUGGUACCAGCAGAAGGAUGGGAGGCCUCCCAGGUAUCUCCUGAGCUACUACUCUGACUCAGAUAAGCACCAAGGUUCUGGGGUUCCUAGCCGCUUCUCUGGAUCCAAAGACACCUCAAAAAAUGCAGGACUUCUGCUCAUCUCUGGGCUCCAGGCUGACGAUGAGGCUGACUAUUACUGUAAUAUUUGGCACAGCAGCAAUAUUGGUUACACAGUGCUCCAGACCUAUGAGGAACUGAGACCAAAACCUCUCCUGUGUCUCUCUGCAUCAAUGAAUCACCUCUGAGACAUUCAUGAUAUGGGUCAUUAAA